CACGAAUAUUAAAGGAGGUUUGGGGUAUCUGCUCCUUCACCAUAGUGGGGAGAAGAUGAAAUUAUUCAGGCCUACAAUCUACUUUGAGUUACUGCUUGUGUACGCAGCAAGGGUCAAGAUUCAUCAUUUUGUAAUCUGAUAAGGUGUACAAAGUACAGGGUUUCCAUGGAAACACACAGCAGGAGGCCUCAAGCCCAGCUCUGAGGUCCUGUUGGACAAUACUACCUGGAGCAGCAAGGCUGCUUGUCCUGAGAAGCGCUGGGGAGUC